CCUACGGGAGGCAGCAGUGGGGAAUUUUGGACAAUGGGCGAAAGCCUGAUCCAGCAAUGCCGCGUGAGUGAAGAAGGCCUUCGGGUUGUAAAGCUCUUUUGUCAGGGAAGAAACGGUGAGAGCUAAUAUCUCUUGCUAAUGACGGUACCUGAAGAAUAAGCACCGGCUAACUACGUGCCAGCAGCCGCGGUAAUACGUAGGGUGCAAGCGUUAAUCGGAAUUACUGGGCGUAAAGCGUGCGCAGGCGGUUUUGUAAGUCUGAUGUGAAAUCCCCGGGCUCAACCUGGGAAUUGCAUUGGAGACUGCAAGGCUAGAAUCUGGCAGAGGGGGGUAGAAUUCCACGUGUAGCAGUGAAAUGCGUAGAUAUGUGGAGGAACACCGAUGGCGAAGGCAGCCCCCUGGGUCAAGAUUGACGCUCAUGCACGAAAGCGUGGGGAGCAAACAGGAUUAGAUACCCUGGUAGUCCACGCCCUAAACGAUGUCUACUAGUUGUCGGGUCUUAAUUGACUUGGUAACGCAGCUAACGCGUGAAGUAGACCGCCUGGGGGAGGUACGGUCGCGAGAAGUUAAACGUAACGAAAGUAGAAGUUAGUACGGACGUAGAGACGUUAGCCGACGGACGACGACGAGGGGAGGUAGG
rnacentral:rRNA from 1 species